rnacentral:rRNA from 1 species
UAGGGAAUAUUGCGCAAUGGACGCAAGUCUGACGCAGCAACGCCGCGUGGGUGAUGAAGCUUUUUGGAGUGUAAAACCCUGUCAGUGGGGAAGAAAAGCACGGGUAGUAACUGCCCCGUGCCUGACGGUACCCACAGAGGAAGUCCCGGCUAACUCCGUGCCAGCAGCCGCGGUAAUACGGGGGGGACUAGCGUUGUUCGGAUUUACUGGGCGUAAAGGGCGCGUAGGCGGACCUUCAAGUCGGGUGUGA